CCUUGUCAUUAGUUGCUACAUUUAGUUGGGCACUCUAAUGAAACUGCCGGUGACAAACCGGAGGAAGGUGGGGAUGACGUCAAUUCCUCAUGGCCCUUAUAGGUAGGGCUACACACUUCAUACAAUGGCUGGUACAAAGGGUUGCCAACCCGCGAGGGGGAGCUAAUCCCAUAAAACCAAUCGUAGUCCGGAUCGCAAUCUGCUACUCUACUGCUUGAAGUCGGAAUCGCUAGUAAUCGCGGAUCAGAAUGUCUCGGUGAAUACUUUCCCGGGUCUUGUACACACCGCCCGUCUCACUAUGGGAGCGGGUUCUGCCACAAUUAGUUAGCCUAACCGCAAGGAGGGCGAUAACCACGGCAGGGUUCGUGACUGGGGUGAAAUCGUAACAAGGUAGCCGUAUCGGAAGGUGCGGCUGGAUCACCU
rnacentral:rRNA from 1 species